CUGCCCGAUAGAGGGGUAACCACUGGAAACGGUGGCUAAUACCGCAUAACGUCGCAAGACCAAAGAGGGGGACCUUCGGGCCUCUCACUAUCGGAUGAACCCAGAUGGGAUUAUGCUAGUAAGGCGGGGUAACGGCCCACCUAGGCGACGAUCCCUAGCUGGUCUGAGAGGAUGACCAGCCACACUGGAACUGAGACACGGUCCAGACUCGCUCUACGGGAGGCAGCAGUGGGGAAUAUUGCACAAUGGGCGCCAAGCCUGAUGCAGCCAUGCCGCGUGUAUGAAGAGGCCUGGGUUGUAAAGUACUUUCAGCGGGGAGGAAGGCGAUUGGUUAAUUAAACCGCAUUGAUUGGACGUUACCCGCAGAAGAAGCACCGGCUAACUCCGUGCCAGCAGCCGCGGUAAUAGAGGGUGCAAGCGUUAACGGAAUUACUGGGCGUAAAAGCGCACGCAGGCGGUCUGUUAAGUCAGAUGUGAAAUCCCCGGGCUUAACCUGGGAACUGCAUUUGAAACUGGCAGGCUUGAUCUCGUAGAGGGGGGUAGAAUUCCAGGUGUAGCGGUGAAAUGCGAGAGAUCUGGAGGAAUACCGGUGGCGAAGGCCGUGGCCCCCUGGACGAAGACUGACGCUCAGGUGCGAAAGCGUGGGGAGCAAACAGGAAGAUACCCUGGUAGUCCACGCCGUAAACGAUGUCGACUUGGAGGUUGUUCCCUUGAGGAGUGGCUUCCGGAGCUAACGCGGUUAAGUCGACCGCCUGGGGAGUACGGCCGCAAGGUUAAAACUCAAAUGAAUUGACGGGGGCCCGCACAAGCGGUCGUGGAGCAAUGGUUUAAUUCGAUGCACGCGAAGAACCUUACCUACUCUUGACAUCCAGAGAACUUAGCAGAGAUGCUUUGGUGCCUCGGGAACUCUGAGACAGGUGCUGCAUGGCUGUCGUCAGCUCGUGUUGUGAAAUGUUGGGUUAAGUCCCGCAACCGAGCGCAACCCUUAUCCUUUGUUGCCAGCGAUUCGGUCGGGAACUCAAAGGAGACUGCCGGUGAUAAACCGGAGGAAGGUGGGGAUGACGUCAAGUCAUCAUGGCCCUCGAGUAGGGCUACACACGUGCUACAUGGCGCAUACAAAGAGAAGCGACCUUCCGCGAGAGCAAGCGGACCUCAUAAAGUGCGUCGUAGCC
rnacentral:rRNA from 1 species